CCUGAGAAACCCAAAAGAUCGAAUGGGGAGAUUCAUCGUCAACGCGUCUGGUAUAUGUAUGAGUUGCGAUACGAGUUAUCCUUGUGAUAAUGCUUGUACGUGCUUGUUCAUUUUAUUGCUGGAUGUCGUCGGCGUGCACUUUUCCCCUAGUAGGACGUCGCGACCCGUUGGGUGUCGUUYUAUGGCCCGGAUGGUAGUCUUUAAUUUUYCAAUUGAAGACCACUGGUGACCUGAUCGGCUGCCCGGCGGUAUUCGCACGGUAAUGAGUCGCAUUUUAAUUUGCGUCAAGCCCAUCGCAAGCGCGGUUAGUAUUCUGGUAGUGCGGACUCAAUGCCGUCACUGGAGCUAACCAGCUGUUGGUUGUAUGGUGUUCUUUGACUGACUCGAUAAUUAAUUACCGGUCGGCGACGCUACUGCU
rnacentral:rRNA from 1 species